rnacentral:rRNA from 1 species
CAUGGCGGCGUGCUUACCAUGCAAGUCGAACGAUGACCCCGGUGCUUGCACCGGGUGAUUAGUGGCGAACGGGUGAGUAACACGUGAGUAACCUGCCCCCGACUCUGGGAUAAGCCCGGGAAACUGGGUCUAAUACCGGAUAUUCACUUCCUUCCGCAUGGGAGGUGGUGGAAAGAUUUUAUCGGUGGGGGAUGGACUCGCGGCCUAUCAGCUUGUUGGUGGGGUAAUGGCCCACCAAGGCGACGACGGGUAGCCGGCCUGAGAGGGUGACCGGCCACACUGGGACUGAGACACGGCCCAGACUCCUACGGGAGGCAGCAGUGGGGAAUAUUGCACAAUGGGCGAAAGCCUGAUGCAGCGACGCCGCGUGAGGGAUGACGGCCUUCGGGUUGUAAACCUCUUUCAGUAGGGAAGAAGCGAAAGUGACGGUACCUGCAGAAGAAGCGCCGGCUAACUACGUGCCAGCAGCCGCGGUAAUACGUAGGGCGCAAGCGUUAUCCGGAAUUAUUGGGCGUAAAGAGCUCGUAGGCGGUUUGUCGCGUCUGCCGUGAAAGUCCGGGGCUCAACCCCGGAUCUGCGGUGGGUACGGGCAGACUAGAGUGAUGUAGGGGAGACUGGAAUUCCUGGUGUAGCGGUGAAAUGCGCAGAUAUCAGGAGGAACACCGAUGGCGAAGGCAGGUCUCUGGGCAUUAACUGACGCUGAGGAGCGAAAGCAUGGGGAGCGAACAGGAUUAGAUACCCUGGUAGUCCAUGCCGUAAACGUUGGGCACUAGAUGUGGGGGACAUUCCACGUUUUCCGC